UUCAACUAAAAUAGAAUACAUGAUAGUGUUGGGAAAGCAUUAAGAACAGCUAACUAAGGCCACGUGACUACCAGCCACAUCCUCGCUUGACCCGGGCUUGAAGCCUUGUUCACAUAUGGUCGCAACGGUCGUAAAAAAUACAGUCGCGAUCUUUCUCAACGGCCAGAUUAUAAUCGUUUUUACCUACUAAUUGCAAGUGCUUAAUUAUCCUAGUUUAAUGUUUGUAAAUAUCUUAAAACACUUAACUACAUAAUUGCAUGUGUAUAAUUAUCGUUGUUUAAUGCUUUUUACAAAUUUCUAUUUCAUAUACUGUAUAUUACUAAUAAUAUU